UGGGGAAUAUUGGACAAUGGGCGGAAGCCUGAUCCAGCAACGCCGCGUGAGGGAUGACGGCCUUCGGGUUGUAAACCUCUUUCAGUACCGACGAAGCACCGGUGAAUGGUGGUGACGGUAGGUACAGAAGAAGCACCGGCCAACUACGUGCCAGCAGCCGCGGUAAUACGUAGGGUGCGAGCGUUGUCCGGAAUUAUUGGGCGUAAAGGGCUCGUAGGCGGUUUGUCGCGUCGGGAGUGAAAACACUGGGCUUAACUCAGUGCUUGCUUUCGAUACGGGCAGACUAGAGGCAUGCAGGGGAGAACGGAAUUCCUGGUGUAGCGGUGAAAUGCGCAGAUAUCAGGAGGAACACCGGUGGCGAAGGCGGUUCUCUGGGCAUGUCCUGACGCUGAGGAGCGAAAGUGUGGGGAGCGAACA
rnacentral:rRNA from 1 species